CGGGUGAGUAAUGCCUAGGAAUCUGCCUGGUAGUGGGGGACAACGUUUCGAAAGGAACGCUAAUACCGCAUACGUCCUACGGGAGAAAGCAGGGGACCUUCGGGCCUUGCGCUAUCAGAUGAGCCUAGGUCGGAUUAGCUAGUUGGUGAGGUAAUGGCUCACCAAGGCGACGAUCCGUAACUGGUCUGAGAGGAUGAUCAGUCACACUGGAACUGAGACACGGUCCAGACUCCUACGGGAGGCAGCAGAG
rnacentral:rRNA from 1 species